rnacentral:rRNA from 1 species
UACGUAGGGUGCAAGCGUUGUCCGGAAUUAUUGGGCGUAAAGAGCUCGUAGGCGGCUUGGCAAGUCGGGUGUGAAAACUCCAGGCUCAACCUGGAGAUGCCACUCGAGACUGCUAUGGCUAGAGUCCGGUAGGGGACCACGGAAUUCCUGGUGUAGCGGUGAAAUGCGCAGAUAUCAGGAGGAACACCGGUGGCGAAGGCGGUGGUCUGGGCCGGCACUGACGCUGAGGAGCGAAAGCGUGGGGAGCAAACAGG